rnacentral:rRNA from 1 species
AGAACGAACGCUGGCGGCGUGGAUAAGACAUGCAAGUCGAACGGGCUUAAUUUUAGAGCAAUCUAGGGUUGAGCCAGUGGCGAACGGGUGCGUAACACGUGAGUCAUCUGCCUGAAAGUGGGGGAUAGCUCGCCGAAAGGCGAAUUAAUACCGCAUGUGGUUGUGAAACCAAAGCCGGGGCAACCUGGCGCUUUUAGAGGAGCUCGCGGCCUAUCAGCUUGUUGGUGAGGUAACAGCUUACCAAGGCAACGACGGGUAGCUGGUCUGAGAGGACGACCAGCCACACUGGAACUGAGACACGGUCCAGACACCUACGGGUGGCAGCAGUCGAGAAUUUUUCCCAAUGGGGGAAACCCUGAAGGAGCGACGCCGCGUGGAGGAUGAAGGCUUUCGGGUUGUAAACUCCUGUCAUUUGGGAACAAGUCUUACGUUAACUGCGUGGAGAUUUGAUAGUACCGAAAGAGGAAGAGACGGCUAACUCUGUGCCAGCAGCCGC